rnacentral:rRNA from 1 species
UGGGGAAUAUUGGACAAUGGACCAAAAGUCUGAUCCAGCAAUUCUGUGUGCACGAUGACGUUUUUCGGAAUGUAAAGUGCUUUCAGUUGGGAAGAAAAAAAUGACGGUACCAACAGAAGAAGUGACGGCUAAAUACGUGCCAGCAGCCGCGGUAAUACGUAUGUCACAAGCGUUAUCCGGAUUUAUUGGGCGUAAAGCGCGUCUAGGUGGUUAUGUAAGUCUGAUGUGAAAAUGCAGGGCUCAACUCUGUAUUGCGUUGGAAACUGCAUGACUAGAGUACUGGAGAGGUAAGCGGAACUACAAGUGUAGAGGUGGAAUUUGUAGAUAUUUGUAGGAAUGCCGAUGGGGAAGCCAGCUUACUGGACAGAUACUGACGCUAAAGCGCGAAAGCGUGGGUAGCAAACAGGAUUAGAUACCCUGGUAGUCCACGCCGUAAACGAUGAUUACUAGGUGUUGGGGGUCGAACCUCAGCGCCCAAGCUAACGCGAUAAGUAAUCCGCCUGGGGAGUACGUACGCAAGUAUG